rnacentral:rRNA from 1 species
UACGAAGGGGGCUAGCGUUGUUCGUAAUCACUGGGCGUAAAGGGCGCGUAGGCGGCCGAUCAAGUCGGGGGUGAAAGCCUGUGGCUCAACCACAGAAUUGCCUUCGAUACUGUUUGGCUUGAGACCGGAAGAGGUUAGUGGAACUGCGAGUGUAGAGGUGAAAUUCGUAGAUAUUCGGAAGAACACCAGUGGCGAAGGCGACUUACUGGACGAUUGUUGACGCUGAGGUGCGAAAGCGUGGGGAGCAAACAGG